rnacentral:lncRNA from 1 species
AUUGGAAAAGGACUGCUAUAAGGACAUAGUCUGUGCAAGAAGAUGGUGGCAGUAUGUAUGUAAGAAGGAAGAAUAAUAAGAUGGCUUCAAAUAAGAAGGAUUGCAUGGAGAUUCAAAAAUGAGUUCCAGAAAACUCAAGCUGUGAAGGAUCCAAGUGGAAUGGUAGAAUUUGGAUUUGGGGAGGCGGCCAGGAUCAAAAGGCUCUCUCGCUGGCCUGGAGUUGUGUAGCACACUGAGUCGGCUAGGUUGUCUGGCUACUGAGUUGCCAUGAUUGAUCCUUCUCCUACAAGCAUCUGGCAUUACACUCAACUUUUAUUUGUAGUGCAAGCUUCUGGCUCAAGAGACUUGGAAUAAAGACUGGACACAGAUCUGUCAUUCCCUCCCCCACCUCUCCUAGCUGUGAUUCAGCUCCUACUGGGUUAGAGAGGCCCCUGCACUCCUUGGCUUGUGGCACAUAUAGUCCAUCUUUGAAGCCAGCCGCACGGCAUCUCUGACACCUCCUCAGGCUCCGAGUAAAGGACCCUUGUGACUGGACCAGGACCACCUGCCUAGCUCCUCAACUCAGUUCCUUAAGGUCAUCUUGUCUCCAAAUUCUCAUCUGCCCUGUGAGUUACAUGUUGCAUGUAGGCUAGUUCUCAAAUACACAUGUAGCCAUCUGAGAAGAUGGGAUUAUUGCCUGCCACAUAUAUUAUUUUUCUGAAGAACAUUUUGAACAAUUCAUUUUGUGUUCAUACCGAGGAAAGAAUUGGUCAGUACAUCUUCUUGCUCUUUUGACUUAGUCCUGUUUUAAGGAAACAAAAGCUAUAGUUUAACUGGUGCUCACUAUUCCAUAAUAUGAAUAGAACGAUACUAUUUGUCUACUCCACUGUUAAGGAAAAUUUUCAUUUUUUGUUUAAGACUCCUAAGACCAUCCCAGAGACAAAUCAUCUUGUAAAUAUCCCCUGAUUUAUAUGAACACAUUUAAAAAUGUUUUUUAAUGGCUGGGCAGUGGUGGUGCACACCUUUAAUCCCAGCACCCAGGAGGCAGAGGCAGGUGGAUCUCUGAGUUCAAGACCAGCCUAGUUUAGAGAGUGAGUUCUAGGACACUCGGGGCUACACAGAGAAAUCCUGUCUCCAAAAGAGUUCUCUCUCUCUCUCUCUCUCUCUCUCUCUCUCUCUCUCUCUCUCUCUCUCUCUCUCUCUCUGUGUGUGUUUAUCUCUGGAGGCCAGAAGAAGCGUCAGACUCUCUAGAAUUGGAGAUAAAGAUGAUUUCGGGCUACCCAACAUAGGUGCUGCAAACUGAACUCAGGUCCUCUGCAAGAGCUCUCUUAACUGCUGAGCAUUUCUUUACUGAAACUGAAAUUGAAGAUGUUUCUUAUGUUUCAGGAUCAUCAUUAUUUGUUCUUCAGUAGCUGUCAGGUUAGUUUGCUUUUUUUUUUCUUACCUGCUUCUUUUACUCUGGGUUCUUUUGUGACCCUCUCUCAAUCUUUAUUCUGUCAUUUCAUUUUAGUCUCAGUGUGGAUUUCUUUGCAUUUGUGUGAUUCUGAGAAUAGCUUCAAACAAAUCCAGUAGUCCAUCUUUGACUACCAGGGACACAUUGCAAGAGUCACUGUGGAUGCUGAAACCAUGAGGAAUCCUGAAAUUGAAAUGUACUACAAUUUUUUUCAUAGCAUAUGAUGAAGUUUAAUCUUUAAAUUAGGCAAGAAGCUUUUAUAAUAAUAGCUAGCUGUAGGAUAAUCCUAACAACCUGCUAUAAUAAAGUUAUGUAAAUACAGUCUUUCUCUUUCAGAAUCUUAGGCUAUAGUCAUUUUUGUUUUGAGGAUGGGAGAUGACCCAACGCCUGAACAAUGAGAUGAAGUGAGGGGAAGAUGUAGACUUUGUAACAUAGUGUUAGGUUUCCAUGUAAGUAGUCCUUGAACACAAACACUGCAAUAUCUGGGACUUACUACAUGGACCAGGUUGGCUUCUAACUCACAGAAAUACACCUGCUUCUGCUAGGAUUAAAGUGUGGCCACCACACCCAGCAUCUGUGGAUCCUUUUAAUGUUUGAAUGUGGCAAAAGACAGGGGAAUGAUGUCCUGUGUUUACAUGGCAGACAAGCAGUGAGUCUUCUCCCACAGGCCCCUUUCACAGGAACACCCAUCAUCCAUAAUGACAAAGCAUUCACAACCUAAAGGCCCUUCUUACUACAACCCGGUUCCCAAUAGGAUCACACUGGAGAUUAAAUGUUUUACCCAUGAAUGGGGCAGGAGCAUUCUAGAUUGUAACCACAGGGUAGUUGAGGAUGGGAUUAGGGGUAAAUUAAACUGCCAGAAGGCUCACAGCUUUGCCUUCCGGACCUUGAGAUUUUGAUGUAAAGUCUGAUUCUAAUAACUUUUUUUUUUUGCCAUUUUUGUUGCAUUUUACAGAGGCAGAUAUUUAGCCUCUUAUGCUUUGUUAUUUCUCCCUGUUGGUUUUUGUUUAUACAUAUCUUAAUGUCCUCCAGAGCAUUCCUUAAGAAUGGCAAUGUAUGCUCUUAACUGAUUUCAGCUUAUCACAAAUGAAUCUUAUCAUCUAUUACCUCAUAUAUAACUGAAUAAGAUUGAAAUAGAUUUUUUUGCCUACACCCCACUUUUAGCUAUUUUUAUUAGAAUGUGUCAUAAACCUCAUGAUUCAGAUUUUUCUUUUAGAUUUAAAUAGCCAGAUGUCCUUUAAAUAAGUCAGACAUUGGCCUUCCUAUUCAUUGGCAUAUUUACUGCUGUUCCAGACAUUCAGUCUUUGAAUACCAUUUUUUCCCCUAAGAAACGGAAGAAAUACUAGAACUUAAAAGUAAGACCUAUUUUUUUGAAGUAUAGCAUCCCAAUAACUAAUUUUAUCAACCUUUAUGUAUGUGAAGGUGCUUAUAUUUCAUUUUCAUAUUUUGCAGAUUAUCUUUCUUAGAAUAAAUAACUUGAUUAAAAAAAAACAACCUCUCAGCCUGUGAUAGUUUGAAUGUAAUUGUCCCCCAUAAUUUCAUAGCAAGGUGUGGUUAGUUGGAGUGGAUAUGAUCUUGUUAGCAGAAGUGUGUCACUGUGUGGGUGGGUUUUAAGGUUUCCUAUGCUCGGGAUUCUGCCCAGUGUUUUAGUCAUCUUCCUGUUGCCUGCAAGAUGUAGGACUCUCAGCUACUCUUCUAGCACCAUGUCUGUCUGCACACCACCAUGAUCCCCAAUGAUAAUGGACUGAACCUCUGAAACUGAGAGAGAACAGUGUUAAACCCAGUUGCAGAGAGGGAGGAGUGAUGAGCAAAGAGAUCAAGGCUGGGCUGGUGAAACCCACAGAAACAGCUGACCUGAACAAGGGGGAGUGCAUGGACCCCAGACUGAUGUCUAGGAGGCCAGCAUGCGACUGAUCCAGACCCCUGAACGUGGAUGUCAGUGAGGAGGCCUCUGCCCAAGACCAUCUGUUGUUUGUAAACAGAAACUCCAAGUAGUAAUCCCCAUUUGGAUGCUUCAGUAAAAGAGACUAAGAAGUGUUGUCCAUCUUAUUCAAGGCCAUUAUAAAAGCCACGGAUUGUUCCGAAAGUCUUCAACUUUUGGAGAAAGAUUUUGUCUAUGAUGAAGGAAUUAAAUAAUUGAGAAAAAUCUGAAAGAAAUUCUCUAUGUGAAAACUUUCAGACCCACCUUGACUCAUUUCCUGUCUGUCUGUCUGACUUGGAAGUUCCAACAUGCUCAUGGGAGUCAGAUGGGAGUCCACGAACUGAGAAUAAAAUUGAGGAUGAAAGAGACAGGAUUUAGCAAUAAAAGACCCAAAUAAACACAAGACCAAAGAUCUCUGACAAAUAAAAGCUUCCCUCACAGAGACACACAGCACCAACUCAAAUGUUCACCAGGGAACCAAGGGUGAAGAAAUGUGGCCAGUGGAUACAACAGAAUGGUGUUCAGUCAUAAAAAGGAUGACAUUCUGACAGAGCUUUUUGAUGAAGGUCUAGUCCAAUGGGAGAUAGAAGAAAGAUCUGCUGCCUUCUACCCUCUUCUAUGCUGCUUACUCAAACAGAGGGAAAGUCACAACCAGUCUGCAUUGCCUGAUAUUAGAGCGUGCUCUUACAUGAGAAAUACAAUUGUAUCUUAAUCUAAUAUUAUUUUAUUUACAAGUAUUUUGUUUAUGUUGUUCACAUUUCCAUGGCUGACUCCAUAGCUGACAAAACAGUUUUUGCUGUAGGGGUGACUCUAAGGAGAAUGGUUACUUUUUAAGUGUGUUUAGUAGACUUCCAUCUGAUUACUCAUAACUUUUCAUCUACUCAUUUUUUCUUUGAUGGGCUUUAACCUGGUGCUGACAUCCUUUAUCCUGCAGCUGUUUAAUAUGAAUGUUUCCAUUUUGUUUUACUCUAACUAGCUCUUGUCAAGGGGUUAAGAUUGGGCAAUCCCUAGCCAAACUGGCUUCCUUAAGAGUAUGUGUAUGUCAGGUGGAGCCUUUGCGUUGGCCUGGGUGGAAAAGGCAUCUUUGUAAAACAUGUGGUGUCUACUUAAAAGCUGAGCUCCUGGUUAGUAUUUACUGGGAAAUUCAAAACAAUUUCCCAGUUCAGUUAGCCAGCAUAACAUUGCACAGAUCUGGUUUUCUGCCUGGAACAUCCAGUACCAAGCCGUGCAUUUCCCUCAAAUUGAAAUUCCAAUCUCAGUAUGGUCUCCACAAUAUCCCUCUUAUUUUCUGCUAGUAUUCCAAAACCCCUCCCUGCCUAUGCUGGGUCCAGGCUUUCUCUUUGUUCCUCUCUUCAGAAUUUAGGUAACCAUGGUGAAUUCACCUGCUGCUCAGGUGGAGGGUGGUGCUUUUAGCCUGAAAUCCAACUGGGUUUGACCCGUAGGCUUCAAAUCCUCAUUUUACUCCCAUUGCCAGUAUCAAGUACAACAUUUUAAAGUAUUGACUUAGGUGACCCAACCCCACUGUUGAAAGGAAAAUGUCCUGGAAAGCAAGAGCAAUUUCACAGUAAUGCAUUAAAGGGAACACUUAGUCCCCAGCACUGUUUCCAAUAUUCUUUGUGUCCUUUUCCAUCACCUAUACUAACACCAAGGUUCAUCUGGCUUCAUCCUAGAGGGAUUCUGCAUUCUUCUCCUGGGUGAAUCUCAUAUUCUCCCCCAUGUCUUUUCUUACUGUUUCACAAAAGCACAAGAAAGGUUCCUCCAAAGAGCAUACAGAGUAGCAAAGAGGUCAAAAUGGAACAAAACACAAUCCCUUGUUGAAGUUAGAAGAGAAGACUGUGAGUAUUUAUAAAUUGAUUUGUAAUAACAGACCAGGCUGGACUUCCUACAUAGCUAAGGAUAGCCCUGCAUUCCUGAUCUUCCUGUUUCCACCUCCCAAGUGCUGGGGUUACAGUUGUGCACUGCCACUCCUGGAUGAGUUCACACGUUGUACCUUAACACAGAGACAGAUGGAUAUUCAUCUUUUUUUCUUUUAAAAUUUCUUGUAUAAUGGUGUAUUUGAUUGACACGAGUGCUUGUGAGUUUGAGGACACCAUCAGGUUCUGUGAUCCCCAAAAUCACCCAUAGCUGAUACUUGUUGAUUUUGUAGUCACUACACUUUUAUAUACAAGAGCAAGACAAAGGUGUAAAUGUUGACAGUAGUCAUAGUAAGUACUUUACACCAGAUGUGAAAUUCGUGGAUGAAAAAGGAUGGGCCCAGGAAAUUCACCGAAGUGGUGGAAUUCUUUUUCUUUAACACAUAAUAUUUUGGGGAGAAAAUGGACUAUUUCUUGGGGAUGAGCUUCAGUGAUCGGGAGUAGAUGAAAAAUAAUAAUGGGAAAAUAAUGGAAACCACUGAAAUACUUCUCAGUUCCUCAUCACACUCAGCAAAAGAUGGCAAAGGACUGUCCCAGAACCCAGGGCAAAGGAUCCUGAAGAUGUGUGGUGAAGGGAACCAUGGGCCAGUCAUAGUUUUGUCAUAAGCAAUUUUGAAGGUGGUUGCUUGAUUGUUGUCUCUCCACCAGAAGCUAGUCAAUGGGUUACCAUGAAACAGAGGUAGAGCCAAGUGAGUGGUUCUGAGAGUCCUUUCAAAGAGAUGGACAUUUCUUAGACAAAGCUUCAGCAGUAUGAUUUGCAAAUUACCUUCUAAAAAUAUCAACUAGGCUCAAUAAAAUAUGAACUGCAAUCAAUAAGGCACAGAGGAAUACAUGAUAAAUGGACAGAUAAACGAACUAGGAGGUAUGUUAACUGUUAGAAAGGAAAAUGUAAGCAUAAUGAAAAAUAGACAGUCCUGUUCUCACCAAGUGUCCCUGCAUGCAUGGGUACAGACUGAAGCUCAUAUGUGAAUCCCUGACCUCAAAUAGGAUCAUGUUGAGUGAUGGGCAACAGAAAAGUGGGCCUCAAGGCUGAUUCUCUUACAUGAAGGCAAAUAAACACCUGGACUCUGGGCAUAGUGAGAAAGUGACAUCUGCAAACCAGGAAAAGGCUUCACCAGAAACCAACCUUGGAGACUCCUUGACCUUGAACUGUAGCCUUCAGAAUGAUGAGAAAGAAAAUGAACCUUUGUUUAGGCCCCAGUCAGCAUAACACUAGAGAGUAAAACACACUGAAUGGGUGUGUAAAGCUGGGACCAGAGUGAUGGAAGAGGGGCAGUAUAGCAGUACCUGGGAACCUCCUUCGGAAUGUGAAGAUCUAGAGAAAGAAACAGGAAGGUGGAAGAUUUGGGACAUGGAGAUUUUGAGUAUAUCUUUUUAUAAGAAAAUGACACCAAAAAUAGUAUCUAGACAAUAUUUACAAAUAUAAAUUUUAAUGCUUAGAUGAUGAAACUGCAACGAUUGCUCAUAAAAUGACUCCUUAUAAGAAAACAUAAUCAAUUAUGAGACUAACAACUUCUUUUAGUCCCACACUAUUGAGCAGGUCUAAGAUUAAAGAAUCUUUAAACCCUGGUUUCCAAGUGUGUUUUGGACAACUCAAGGCACCAGGACAAACUCCCAGGGCACUGUGGAAGUAUUUUACACUUGGGGGAGAUUCAGGGACACUGGACAUGCUUUAGGAGCCAUGGGCUUUGCUUUUCAAGGUAGUGCACAAUUUGUAUGUUAGAUAGUGUUUCGUUCCUUUUUAUGAUGUCAUAUCAUCGUGAGACUGGAUUCCUGGUGGAUGCUUUAAUUAAAGAAAAGCACAUUCUGCAUGACCGUUAAUGUAGAGCAACAAAUGAGAUGCUGGAGUGAGCAAGAAUGAGACAUGCAAUAUUAUUGUGUAAUUAUGCUUGUUGGGUAACUUAAGGGUGAUUGUCAAGCAGUAUUAAAUUAUUUAAACAUUUCGUCAGCUGGGGAAGUUUAGAGACCCGUAAGUAAGUAUGAAGAUACCUGAAGAGGUUUGUGAUAUGUUCUCUCCAUUCUUGAAUAUGUGUGUGUGUGUGUGUGUGUGUGUGUGUGUGUGUGUGUGUGUGUGUGUGUGUGUGUGUGUAAAGUUGAAUGUAAUUUGUAAUUGUUUUGGUUUUUUAGAGGUCAUUAUGAAUUUUAUUUUAUUUAUUUUUCUAUUUUUUAUUUAAAUUAGAAACAAGCUUUUCUUACACGUCAAUCCCAGUUCCCUCUCCCUCCCCUCCUUCCUUGCCCCCCACUAGCCCCCUAUCCCAUCCCCUUUCUGCUCCCCAGGGAGGGUGAGGCCUUUCAUGGGGGAUCUUCAAAGUCUGUCAUAUCAUUUGGAACAGGGCCUAGAUCCUUCCCCAUGUGUCUAGGCUCAGAGAGUAUCACUCAAUGUGUAAUGGGCUCCCAAAGUCCAUUUGUAUGCUAUGGAUAAAUAUUGAUCUACUACCAGAGGCCCCAUAGAUUAUCUCCUCACUGACACCCACGUUCAGGGGGCUCUGGAUCAGUCCUUUGCUGGUUUUUUGGGGUCCAUGAGCUCCACCUUAUUCAGUUUAGCUAUUUCUGUGGAUUUCACCAGCCUGGUCUUGACCCCUUUGCUCAUCACUCCUCCCUCUCUGCAACUGGAUUCCAGGAGUUCAGUUCAGUGUUUAGCUGUGGGUGUCUGUUUCUGCUUCUAUCAGUUACUGGAUGAAGGCUCUAGGGUGGCAUAUAAGGUAGUCAUUAGUCUCAUUAUCAGAGAAGGGCAUUUAAGGUAGCCUCUCCACUAUUGCUUAGAUUGUUAGUUGGUGUCAUCCUUGUAGAUCUCUGGACAUUUCCCUAGUACCAGAUUUCUCUUUAAACCCAUAAUGGAUCCCUCUAUUAUGGUAUCUCCUAUGUUGGUCUCCUCUGUUCUUCCCCCAAUUCAACCUUCCUGCUCUCUUAUGUCCUCCUCUCCCCUCCUCUUCUCCCUUUCUCUUUCUACUAGCUCCCUCUCCCAUCCCCACCAUGCUCUCAAAUUGCUCAGGAGCCCUUGUCCCUUUCCCCUUCUCCAGGGGACCAUAUAUCUCUCUCUUAGGGUCCUCCUUGUUUCCCAGCUGCUCUGGCGGUGUGGAUUGUAGACUGAUAAUUCUUUGUUCUAUGUCUAAAAUCCAUAUAUGAGUGCAUACAUGCCAUGUUUGUCUUUUUGUGACUGGGUUAUCUCACUCAGAAUGGUUUCUUCUAGUUCUAUCCAUUUUCCUGAAAAUUUCAAGAUUCCAUUGUUUUUUUUCCCACUGAGUAGUACUCCAUUUUAUAAAUGUACCACAUUUUCUCUAUCCAUUCUUCAGUUGAGGGGCAUCUAGGUUGCUUCCAGGUUCUGGCUAUUACAAAUAAUGCUGCUAUGAACAUAGUUGAACAGAUGUCCUGGUUUAUGAAUGUGCAUCUUUUGGGUAUAUGCCUAAGAGUGGAAUUGCUGGAUCUUGUGGUAGAUUGAUUGCCAUUUUAUUGAGGAGUCGCCAUACUGAUUUCCAAAGUGGCUGUACAAGUUGUCACUUCCACCAGCAGUGGAGGAGUGUUCCCCUUUCUCCACAUCCUCUCCAGCAUAAAUUGCUGUUGAUGUUUUUGAUUCUAGCUAUUCUGACAGGAGUAAGAUGUAUCUCAGAGUUGUUUUGAUUUGCAUUUCCCUGAUGGCUGAGGAUGUUGAACACUUUCUUAAGUGUCUAUCAGCCAUUUUAGACUCUUCUAUUGAGAACUCUCUAUUUAGUUCUGUACCCCACUUUUUAAUUGGAUUAUUUGUUGUUUUGGAGACUAGCUUCUUGAGUUCUUUGUAAAAUUUGGAGAUCAGCCCCUGUUAGAUGUGGGGUUGGUGAAUAUCUUUUUGUUUUGUCUUGGUGACUAUGUCCUUUGCCUUACAGAAGCUUCUCAGUUUCAGGAGGUCCCAUUUAUUAAUUGUCGAUCUCAGUGUCUGUGCUACUGGUGUUAUGUUCAGGAAGUGGUCUCCUGUACCAAUUCGUUCAAGGGUACUUCCCACUUUCUCUUCUAAGAGAUUCAUUGUGGCUGGAUUUAUGUUGAGGUCUUUGAUCCAUUUGUGCAUGGCGAUAGAUAUGGAUCUAUCUGCAUUCUUCUACAUUCCAGCAUCCAGUUAUGCCAGCACCAUUUGUUGAAGAUGCUUUCUUUUUUUCCAUUGUAUAAUUUAAGCUUCUUUGUCAAAAAUCAGGUGUUCAUAGGUGUGUGGGUUAUCAGGGUUUUCAAUUUGAUUCCAUUGGUCUACCUGUUUAUUUUUGUGCUAAUACCAAGCUGUUUUCAGGACUAUAGCUCUAUAAUAGAGCUUGAAGUCAGGACUGGUGAUGCCUCUGGAAGUUCCUUUAUUGUACAGGGUUGUUUUGGCUAUCCUGGUGUUUUGUUUUCCCAUAUAAAUUUGAGUUUUGUUCUUUCAAGGUCUGUGAAGAAUUAUUUUGGAAAAAACUUAGUAUUUUUUAAAUGCAAGCUGACUGCAUUGCUUUUUCAGACAAUAAAUACAAUUGGAUUAAUUUAAAUCCUUCAUUGGCCUCUACAAGCUUUAUUGAGAGAAUGCUAGUUUCUAAGUGCUUCUAGGGCACAGAACUUAUUUUUAAUAUGUCAGAAAUUUCCAUGACAUUUUAUUGAUACCUUUAGCUUAUUUAGGAAAACUUUAAGAAGUCAUAAAAAUGUGACUUUAAAUACAGCUAAAGAAUAAUCUUCAAAGAAAAAAUGAAACCUCAGAUACAAGUAGCUAACUUCUUUAUAUAUUGUAUUCUUUUAGACUCAAAAACAAAAUAUGUUGAAAAUGCAACAACACAUGCUGGUUUCAUUGCAUUAGUGUUGAGUCUAAUGACAGACAUUUAUGCAAUAAAGUAUUUUAAAACUCUAAGGAAUAGUCAAUAUUUUCCUUUUGCUGCAAAAAGAUAUUUAGUACCAGGCAGUUUAGUAACACAGUUUUAAUGAUUUUAUAAAUAUCAAACCAUAACUGUUUAAGCGUGUGCACUUGGCUUUUAUUUUUACAAUCUCAUUUAUCAGAUCAUUUUGUGAUUUCCAGGUUAUAUUAUACAAAACCAAAAAUGCUACCACGAACUAAAAACAAAACACCAAAUGUAUGAAUUUAAGCUUAAUGGGACAAAGGCCAAAGAUUAUCACCGAACACUAGAAAAGUAAAAUAUUAAGAAAACAGUAAAAUCGUAACCUUGCUUACGAUAUAAUUGGAAGUAGAUGGACGAGGAAUUGGUAUAGGAAGAGUGGAUUCUGUCUGUAAAUCAGUGAUCCGCAACCUCUGGAUUGUGACCCUUCUGAGGGUAUCAUAUAAAAUAUUUACAUUAUGAUUCAUUUAAAAAAGUAGCAAAAUUACAGUUAUGAGGUAGCAAUGAAAUAAUUUUAUGGUUGGGGGUCACAACAGCAUGAGGAACUGUAUUUAAGGGUCACAGCAGGAAGAAGCUUGAGAACCACUGCUCUAAACAACACAGUCUUGCUGACAUGAGCAGAAUCUUUCUACCCUGCAGAGACUUUGCCCAGUGGCCUGUGAUUUGGUUAAGAAGAAUCAGAGGUUUACCUUGAGUGGACCAAGUCAGCCCAAGCAAAUUUGCUUCCUGUGUUAAUAUACUUCCAGAUGUGCUGUAGAACCAGACGACUACACAGCAUUUUGAAUUAUGUCAUGUUAACAGCUCUUCCAAUCUUACUUUGUUCUCUUAGUCUCACAGCAAGGCAAAAUCAAAAGAUGAGACAGAAGAGCUCCCCAUGGCUGAAUCAGCUGUGGAUGGAUGUUGGAGAGGAAUGGGCACUACAGCUCUCUCAGGGCAAGCUUGGGUACACACUCUGGGACCGCUUGACUCAGAAAGAGGACUCUAGUAUCCUGCUAGCACAAGACUGCCAGGCCAGAAGAGGGUAUUGGAUCAUCUGAAACUGGAGCUACAAAUGCUGUGAUCAUCAUAUGAGUGCUGGGAGUUGAACCCAGGUCCUCUGGGAGAGCAUCCAGCAUUCAUAUCUCUGUGCCAUGUCUCCAGCUCCCAG